rnacentral:rRNA from 1 species
UACGGAGGGUGCAAGCGCUAUCCGGAUUCACUGGGUUUAAAGGGUGCGUAGGCGGGCAUGUAAGUCAGUGGUGAAAUCUCAGAGCUUAACUCUGAAACUGCCAUUGAUACUAUGUGUCUUGAGUUUCCUGGAGGUUAGCGGAAUAUGUCAUGUAGCGGUGAAAUGCUUAGAUAUGACAUAGAACACCGAUUGCGAAGGCAGCUGACUACGGGUAGAUUGACGCUGAGGCACGAAAGCGUGGGGAGCGAACCGG